AAAAACAUAGCUAAAUUUAUCAAGUUAUUUAGUGAAAAUCUGCACAAUGAGUACUUAUUUUACUUAUUUAUAUAAAUAUUAAUUUGUAAAAUUUACUUAAAUUGAAUAUUUAAUUAUUUAAAGUAGCAUAAUCAUUUGUUAUUUAAUUGGUAUCUUGUAUGAAUGUUUUUAUAUAGAAUUAUUUUAUUAACUAUAUGAUUAAUGAAAUUAAUAUGAUAGUAAAAAAGCUAUCUAAAUAAAUAAGACGAAAAGACCCUAUAAAGCUUAAUAGAAAAUAUAUUAUUUAUUGAUUUAUUUAUAUUUAUUUGGGGAAAAUGUUUUUUAUUAAAAAUAAAAAUUACUUUAUUAAUUUGUAUAAAAUUUUAUUAAAAUUCUCUUAUUUGAAAUUACUACUUAUAAAUAUUAAUUAAAGAUUUAUUUAUAAUUAAAAAAUAAAAGUUACUUUAGGGAUAACAGAUUAAUAUAAAUUUUAUAGAUCAUAUAUAAAUUUAUGUUUAAUACCUCGAUGUUGAAUUAAAUUAAUUGUUAUUUGUAGGUAAAUAAUAAAUAAUAUUGUUCAUAUUUUGAAAAUUUACAUGAUUU
rnacentral:rRNA from 1 species